GACGAACGCUGGCGGCGUGCUUAACACAUGCAAGUCGAGCGGUAAGGCCCUUUCGGGGGUACACGAGCGGCGAACGGGUGAGUAACACGUGGGUGACCUGCCCUCAGCUCUGGGAUAAGCCUGGGAAACUGGGUCUAAUACUGGAUAUGACUCCACGGUGCAUGUCGUGGGGUGGAAAGCCUUGUGCGGCUGAGGAUGGGCCCGCGGCCUAUCAGCUUGUUGGUGGGGUGAUGGCCUACCAAGGCGACGACGGGUAGCCGGCCUGAGAGGGCGACCGGCCACACUGGGACUGAGACACGGCCCAGACUCCUACGGGAGGCAGCAGUGGGGAAUCUUGCGCAAGUGGGCGAAAGCCUGACGCAGCGACGCCGCGUGAGGGAUGACGGCCU
rnacentral:rRNA from 1 species